CAGGAAGUUACUGGCGCAAAAGUAUGAAGAUAAUGAAUUAUAGUAACACAUGCCUUACAGUAAAAAACAGCAAAAGCGCCUGAUUUCUAGCUGCCUAACCUUCCUAACUAGUGCGCGCGCGCAUAUAACCUUUCAAAACCUGCAAGGGAAACCCCUGAAUGUGGAAUUCUCGGUCAUGCCCCUACCUUAACUUAACCUAGUGUGCCGAUCGCACCUGAUGAGCUUCCACAAACAGGGGUAAGGUUGGCAUGCCUUAUGUUAAUGUCUUCCAUCGUCGAGCCGCCAUAACAGAGAGGGGACCUAAUCUCUGGUAGCGAACUGUUUUCAUUUAACUCGGGGCAGAAAACUAACGUUCGAAACCAGCGAUAUACAUGCACUACGGGCGAUGAAACCACGCCUAGACUAUUUAUCAUUUACAAUAAUUGUGUCAUUACAGUCCUAAGCUGAUCUUUUUAUCUUUUAACCGGAGUACCCGGAGAGAAUCCACAUCUUUCAAAAAAUAUCUUGUCCACAACGAUAUCCACCAAUCUUCUUACGGGUACCAUUUGCACCCUCUAAGCUAUGGAUACCAUUUGCACCCAGUUUAGUUAUCCUAGCAAAGGAAAACUAUGCCAGCUUUUCAGCAAAAUUUUGGCAACACCCAUAUAUUACGUACACAAAUAUACAGAUCAUGUAAUGGAUUAAGGUUAAGGUUAUAGGGUUGGAUUUAACCCCAAGCCAAAGCCUAACACAUUUCAUGAUAUUUCUAUACAUUUAUGAACAUAACAUACCGAUAUAAACAAAAUUUUUAAGUCUGGCAAGGUUUUACUUGUCUGCCUAUAUUCUGGAUACCUAGCUGCGCGUUGCGUUUAUCCAUGCACAGACACCUAAGCAGUACAUUUACACAAAGAGAACAACAUUGGCACGAACAGACCGCAAAUACCUAGUGGGUCUCACUACGAGUUACUAGAGUGAAAAAAUA